rnacentral:lncRNA from 1 species
GGCCUAUGGAAAGUGUGUCCACAUUUAUUGGGAGGUGGAGAGCCAACCUUCGCCUUUGUGCCAAGUCUCCUAAGAACAAACAUGCAGAGCCUGCUCCCAGAUGGACAAAGGAAGAAAGAACUGAGCAUCGGCAAAAAGCUGAGGAUGACAAGCUUAGGGGAUGAAAGGCUGCCUUUUCCCCCCACCCUUCUGAGCUUUUCUGACAGCUCCCAGCUGGGAGAAACCAACAUGAUGAAAAGAAAAAGAAUACUGGAGAAGAGAGAGGGUGGGCAGAGCCACAACCUCAUCCUCCCAGUGGUUCCUCUUGAGUUUGAUUUGACAAGAUGCCUUCCCACCCAGGUGACCCCAUGGGAACGUGCCAGUACCUCACCCCACGACCUCACAGAGUCCUCACAAAAACUCCAGGGUGCAGAUUUUCUUCCCCACUUGGAGAUGACAAAUUGAAAUGCAGGAAGGUUAAAGAGCUUGCCUGAGGUUGCUUAGAUAAUAAAAGAAUCUGGAUUAGAACCCAGACCUACCCAGCUCAA